rnacentral:ncRNA from 1 species
AAAAAAAAUUAAAAAAAUAAAGCAUCAAUAAGUGCAAAAAAUUAUUGAUGUGUAAUUUUGUAAAUGUGAAUGAUGAUGAUUAUGAUUGAUGAAUGAUGAUAAAUAAUGAUAAUUUUGUUUUUUAUCAUUUUUAAUCAACAUAAUUAAUCAAUUCAUAUCAAUGGUAACCUGGCUGCAACGAGUAAGAGGGUCGCAAUGGUUAGCGUUGAAGAUUUUAGGCGUAGGCCUAAUUGGAGCUUCCAUUGGUGCAGAUCUUGGUGGUAGUAGCAAAUAUUCAAGUGAGAUCCUUGAAGACUGAAGUGGAGAAGGGUUCCACGUGAACAGCAGUUGAAUGUGGGUCAGUCGAUCCUAAGAUAUUGGCUAGUGCCGGUUAAAAAAAGGAGUAUAUGGAUGGUAAAAUAUCCAUCUCAUUAAUCGAAAGGGAAACGGGUUAAUAUUCCCGUACCUGGACACGGAGAUAAAUUUUCUUGCUUUCUUUGCAUAUAUUUGCUUUUUGCAAAUGUGUAAGAAAUCAUUUGAAAAUUUAGCGCGGUAACGCAAAUGAACUCGGAAACAUUAAAUAGAGCCCGAGCCAGAGUUCUCUUUUCUGGUUAAGGAACGGACUCCCUGGAAUCGGUUCAGCCGGAGAUAGGGACGUUGUGUAAUAAAAAAAAUCCGUAAAGCGCCACGGUUCCUGUGGUGUCUCGUGCUCUCUAUUUUAUCAAUGAAAAUCCGAGGGAAGCUAUUUUAAUUUCGUG